UGUACUGUAAGGGUAAAGGGGUAACUGGG
rnacentral:piRNA from 1 species